rnacentral:rRNA from 1 species
GGUUAGCGGCGGACGGGUGAGUAACACGUAGGCAACCUGCCUGUAAGAUCGGGAUAACUACCGGAAACGGUAGCUAAGACCGGAUAACCGGUUUCUCCGCAUGGGGAGAUCGUGAAACACGGAGCAAUCUGUGGCUUACGGAUGGGCCUGCGGCGCAUUAGCUAGUUGGUGAGGUAACGGCUCACCAAGGCGACGAUGCGUAGCCGACCUGAGAGGGUGAACGGCCACACUGGGACUGAGACACGGCCCAGACUCCUACGGGAGGCAGCAGUAGGGAAUCUUCCGCAAUGGACGCAAGUCUGACGGAGCAACGCCGCGUGAGUGAUGAAGGUUUUCGGAUCGUAAAGCUCUGUUGCCAGGGAAGAACGCCAAGGAGAGUAACUGCUCUUUGGGUGACGGUACCUGAGAAGAAAGCCCCGGCUAACUACGUGCCAGCAGCCGCGGUAAUACGUAGGGGGCAAGCGUUGUCCGGAAUUAUUGGGCGUAAAGCGCGCGCAGGCGGUUUUUUAAGUCUGGUGUUUAAUCCCGAGGCUCAACCUCGGUUCGCACCGGAAACUGGGAGACUGGAGUGCAGGAGAGGAAAGUGGAAUUCCACGUGUAGCGGUGAAAUGCGUAGAGAUGUGGAGGAACACCAGUGGCGA